rnacentral:rRNA from 1 species
UACGGAGGGGGCAAGCGUUAUUCGGAAUUAUUGGGCGUACAGGGCGCGUAGGCGGCUCGAUAAGUCACAGGUGAAAUCCCUCGGCUCAACUGAGGAACUGCCUUUGAAACUGUAGAGCUUGAGUCCGGGAGGGGGUAGCGGAAUUCCCAGUGUAGCGGUGAAAUGCGUAGAUAUUGGGAGGAACACCGGUGGCGAAGGCGGCUACCUGGACCGGUACUGACGCUGAGGCGCGAAAGCUAGGGUAGCAAACAGG